AUGGCCACGAACCCCGGCCUCCUGAGCGAGUUCCCUUGGGAGAGGCUUGGCAGCUACAAGUACAUGCUGCUGGCGCCAUGGGUGGUGCACGGCUUGCAUCUGGUGGCGACCAGGGGGUGGCGCGAUGCCGACCUAGGCUACAUCCUCAUCCUCCCCAACAUGAUUCUCCGGGCGCUGCACAGCCAGGCCUGGAUCACCGUGUCCCGCCUCCAGAACGCGCGAGGCAAGCGCCAGAUUGUCCACCGUGGCAUCGAGUUCCAGCAGGUCGACCGCGAGCGCAACUGGGACGACAACCUCAUCCUGAGCACCAUCCUGAUGCUCCUGGCCGCGUUGUACAUGCCAGGCGGGCAGAACCUGCCGCUGUGGAGGACGGACGGCUUGGUGCUGCUGGCACUAAUACAUGCCGGCCCUGUCGAGUUCCUCUACUACUGGUUUCACCGUGCACUACACCACCACUUCCUCUACACACGCUACCACUCGCACCACCAUGACUCCAUAGUCACCGAGCCCAUUACAUCGGUGAUCCAUCCAUUUGCCGAACUCUUGGCCUAUACAUUUCUGUUUUCAAUCCCAAUGACCACCUGCCAGCUGACUGGAACUGGUUCCAUUAUCGUGUUUGCGGUAUAUUUGAUUUACAUUGAUUUCAUGAACAACAUGGGCCACUGCAACUUCGAAUUUGUCCCCAAUUGGCUCUUCAAAUGGAUUCCCCCUCUCAAGUAUCUCAUGUAUACACCGUCGUUUCAUUCUCUUCACCAUACUCAGUUCCGGACAAACUACUCUCUUUUCAUGCCAUUCUAUGAUUACAUUUACAACACCAUGGAUAAGGCAUCGGACACACUGCAUGAGAACUCACUCAAGGACAUAACGAAAGAAGUAGAUGUGGUUCACCUUACCCAUCUUACCAGCCUGCAGUCCAUCUAUCAUAUAAAUUAUGGGUUUUCCCAGUAUGCCUCCAAGCCUUAUAGUUCAAUGUGGCAACUACGGAUAAUGUGGCCCGUGUCAUAUCUCUCCAUGCUCCUCACAUGUGUGUAUGGUUCUUGGUUCACUCUUGAGAGGAAUUUCAUGGGGAAACUUACUAUCCAGUCAUGGGCCAUUCCAAGAUACAAUUUCCAUUAUGGAUUGAACUUGGAGAAGGAAGCAAUUAAUAGCCUGGUUGUAAAGGCCAUAUGUGAAGCUGACAAGAAAGGAGCCAAAGUUGUUAGUCUUGGACUCCUGAAUCAGGGGGAAAUCCAGAGUUACAAUAGUAGGACAGAUAUGGUCGCUCACAAUGUUAUUGUACUAUCUUCACCCAAACAGGGCCAGAACCUCAAUGGAAGUGGGCAACUUUAUCUGCAAAAGUACCCAAAGUUGGGGGUAAAACUGGUGGAUGGCACCAGCCUAGCUGCUGCCGUCAUUGCUAAUAGUAUCCCCCAAGGCACAUAUCAAGUUGUGCUUGCAGGAGAUAUUUCGAAGGUCGCACGUGCUGUGGCUCAAGCAUUGUGCAGGAAAAAUAUUAAGGUCACAAUGACAAACACGCAAGAUUAUCAUUUCCUUAAGGCGAAAAUACCAGAAGAUGCAGCUGGCAACCUUUCAUUGUUAUCAAAAACUGGCACUGCAAAGGUGUGGUUAAUCGGAGAAGGUUUAGAUGCUGACGAACAGUUGACGGCACCGAAAGGAACACGGUUUAUUCCAUACUCACAGUUCCCACCAAGAAAGCUACGUGAGGAGUGCUACACCUACUCAAUGACUCCGGCAAUGUGUGUUCCAAAAACACUACAGAACGUUCAUUCAUGCGAGAAUUGGCUGCCAAGGAGGGUGAUGAGUGCGUGGCGUAUUGCUGGGAUUGUUCAUGCAUUGGAGGGAUGGAACGAGCAUGAGUGCGGAGACACAGUCCUAGACAUGGACAAAGUUUGGUCUGCUGCAAUUUCGCAUGGUUUCCGCCCCGUUGCUACAGAUUGA
rnacentral:rRNA from 1 species